AGCAGCCGCGGUAAUUCCAGCUCCAAUAGCGUAUAUUAAAGUUGUUGCAGUUAAAAAGCUCGUAGUUGAAUUUCGGGAUCAAUACGUCGGUCGUGCUUCGGUACGUACUGGCGUAAUUGAUUUCUCCCUUCUGACGAACCAUGAUGUCAUUAAUUUGGUGUCGUGGGGAAUCAGGACUGUUACUUUGAAAAAAUUAGAGUGUUUAAAGCAGGCUACGCGCUUGAAUACAUUAGCAUGGAAUAAUGAAAUAGGACGUUUGAUUCUAUUUUGUUGGUUUCUAGGAUCGACGUAAUGAUUAAUAGGGAUAGUUGGGGGCAUUAGUAUUCAAUUGUCAGAGGUGAAAUUCUUAGGAUUUAUUGAAGACUAAC
rnacentral:rRNA from 1 species